rnacentral:ribozyme from 14 species
ACGGCAUCCUACAAAGUUUCAAUUCCGAGAGCAACCUCUUAAAAUACAAGAAAUAAGAAUCAUUCAAUCACAGACACACACACACACACACACUUUUUUUCUUCUUCUUUUUUUUCCUCUUUUCCUU